UUACUCCUACGGGAGGCAGCAGUAGGGAAUCUUCCACAAUGGACGAAAGUCUGAUGGAGCAACGCCGCGUGAGUGAAGAAGGUUUUCGGAUCGUAAAACUCUGUUGUUGGAGAAGAAUGUAUCUGAUAGUAACUGAUCAGGUAGUGACGGUAUCCAACCAGAAAGCCACGGCUAACUACGUGCCAGCAGCCGCGGUAAUA
rnacentral:rRNA from 1 species